AAUCAACGCUGGCGGCGUGCCUCAGACAUGCAAGUCGAACGAUUAAAGCUCCCUUCGGGGAGUGCAUAGAGUGGCGCACGGGUGAGUAACACGUAAGUAAUCUACCCUCGAGUGGGGAAUAACGUCCGGAAACGGACGCUAAUACCGCAUAAUGCAGCGGCACCGCAAGGUGACAGUUGUUAAAGAUUUAUCGCUUGAGGAGGAGCUUGCGGCAGAUUAGCUAGUUGGUAAGGUAAUGGCUUACCAAGGCUACGAUCUGUAACCGGUCUAAGAGGACGGUCGGUCACACUGACACUGAAUAACGGGUCAGACUCCUACGGGAGGCAGCAGUCGGGAAUUUUGGGCAAUGGGCGAAAGCCUGACCCAGCAACGCCGCGUGAAGGAUGAAGUAUUUCGGUAUGUAAACUUCGAAAGAAUGGGAAGAAUCAAUGACGGUACCAUUUAUAAGGUCCGGCUAACUACGUGCCAGCCGCCGCAGUAAGAC
rnacentral:rRNA from 1 species